GGUUUUGUUUCUAGAAUCCUAGGCGUAGUAUUCUAUCACAUUCCCCGUUCAGUCCCGCCUCGCAGGGCAGCAAAAAUGACGGAAUUUAACCAGCAAAGUUUUCGCGAUACGAGUAGUCGGUUGCUGCAGUAAUUGCUGAAUCUAGUCAACACAAUUCUGAACUUUAAGAGGGUCUCUCUUAGGAAGCGGUUGUUCGCCGGAAGUAAAUGGUGAAUUUUGGAGCGACAACUUUGGGCCUGACUUGAGCAUAUGCCUGAAAGGAAAUGGCCAACGCUCUAGCUUUAUUCUUUGGGCCUGAUUUGAGCAUAUACCUGAAAGGAAGACACUCGUUAAGGUAGAACAGAUUUUUUUUCUUUUUUCUUCUCUCCCUUUGUCAAGAAUUCUGUUUCUGCUAGGAAAAUUGGGUUCUAGCAAUUGCUGGAAUAUAAAACUACUGCAAAAAGUCCAGCUCUUUCAAUCUUCUAAAUUCUGGUAAAAUUGGUUUGUCAGUAGAGAGACUUUUAGUACUCAAAAACAAUUUCAAGUUUGUCUUUUCUUUACCCUUCAAAGACUUAUAAUUUCCACAAUGUUUUGUAGAACAUAACGAUUGAAGUUGAAGUUCCUUAUUUGGUUAUUAUGAAAACGUCCGUAUA